GACGAACGCUGGCGGCGUGCUUAAUACAUGCAAGUCGAACGGAAAGUCUCUGCUUUAGUUGGGUGCUCGAGUGGCGAACGGUUGCGUAACACGUGAUUAACCUGCCCUUGCCUUUCGGAUAACUUCAGGAAACUGGUGCUAAUACUGGCUAGGACCUCCUGCUGUUUGUUGUUGGUUGGUAAUUUUCGGCGGUUGGGGAUGGACUCGCGGCUAAUCAGCCUUUUGGUGGGGUAGUGGCUUACAAAGGCUUCGACUAGUAGCCGGACUGAGAGGGUGACCGGCCACAUAGUGACUGAGAUGGGAGCAGGAGGCAAACGGGAGGCAGCGGCGAGAAAUAGUGCGAAAAGGGCGGAAGCCUGAUACAGCAACGUCGGGUGCGAGAGGACGGCCGUCGGGUAGGAAACCGCGUGCGCCUGUGACGAAGAGUGAGUGACGGUAAUGGAUAAGAAAGCACCGGCUAACUACGUG
rnacentral:rRNA from 1 species